CGAACGCUGGCGGCGUGCUUUAUACAUGCAAGUCGAACGAUGAAGUUCCUCCGGGAAUGGAUUAGUGGCGAACGGGUGAGGAACACGUGAGAAACCUGCCUUUCAUUCUGGGAUAACACCGGGAAACCGGUGCUAAUACCGGAUACUCCAUCUUGGCGGCAUCGCCGAGCUGGGAAAAAAAUUUUGAUGAAAGAUGGUCUCGCGGCCUAUCAGCUAGUUGGUGAGGUAAAGGCUCACCAAGGCGACGACGGGUAGCCGGCCUGAGAGGGCGACCGGCCACACUGGGACUGAGACACGGCCCAGACUCCUACGGGAGGCAGCAGUAGGGAAUAUUGGGCAAUGGGCGAAAGCCUGACCCAGCGACGCCGCGUGAGGGACGAAGGUCUUCGGAUUGUAAACCUCUUUCAGUAGGGAAGAAGCGAAAGUGACGGUACCUAAAGAGAAGCACCGGCUAACUAUGUGCCAGCAGCCGCGGUAAUCUGAUG
rnacentral:rRNA from 1 species